CAGUGCUUCAGCUAUUUGACAUGUAAGCCAAUGCCACAGCCUGAUUGGCUGACUCCGUUUAGCAAAUGGAGAUGCAAUGCCUUCUGAGGCUACAGGUUAAAUAUAGGAUGGCACACUAACUCCCUUUUUUUAGCACUCGAUUACCCUCUCUUUAAAUGAAUAUAUACGUUUCUCCAUAAAAACAAGAAAAAUAAGUAGAGUUGAAGAAGAGGGUCAGAAUAAAAAGGAUGGUGCUGAGAUUUUGAAAAGACAACAGAAAGGCCGGGCUGCUGCUGUCAUGUCAGAUACAUCCAAAGGUAGGCCUGGUCUGAUCUUGCUUCCGUCUUGCAGGUCUGAAUUAUUCGGUAACUCCUUCAACGUGUAGCAGAGCCUUCACAGUCCUUAUCCCUCUAUUGGUUAUCCUGCUGGAUCCAGAGGGCAGCAGAAGAUGGAAGUGAUGGAAGUCCAAGCAGACGGAAAGCCAUGCAGGGUGAAGAAAAGAGGCCGGGUGCUGUCCGGGGACCAAGACAGACAGCAGCAGCUGAAUGUCUCUCUCUCUCUCUCUCACCCUCUGCAAAGCGGCCGUCUGUUCUGUGAGGCCCUGGAUGACUGCCGCUGAGUCUUCAUUAACAUCACUGCAGUUCUGAUCUCAUCUAAUCUGCAAAACUGAAGAGGUAGUCAUGUUGUAAAUGCUCUACAAGAAGCAAGUGACGUCUUGGAUUGGUCUAUGUUGAGUUCAAACGUCGUUUGUAAAAUAAAUUAUCACAGAAGAGUUUAACGUCCUGGCAGCGGUCUGCCCACGUCAGCUUCACAGGAAAGAGGAGAGGGCCAUCCAUCCACUGACCUCACCCUCAUCCUCCUCCCAUUUUCAAGCUCCUGUCUGGAGGCAGAGAGAGAGAAAGAGAGAGCAAGGGCGCACUCUUGAUCAGAGUCAAAGGUCAUCAUCUCACACGCAGCCGUGACAUCAUCCACUCAAGGCCCUGGCACAGCCUGGAGUGAGCGCGCAGCAGGCCUGGAUGUGCCACUGGUGGUCUUUGACGGAGGUAAGCUGCAGGCUCUGGGAGAUCUCUGCCACAGACAUGCAACCUUUCACAUCCUGCUUGUUGGCAAAGAUCAACAGCCCCGCCUUUCUUAAAUCCUGGAGGGGCAGAUAAGAGACGUCAAAUAAGGAGAGGGCGGCCACAGUUUACCCAGAAGGUUGUUACCAUGGCAACAACAGAAACGAGAGGUGAGGACUGUGAUUCCAUGACAACUGACUCCACCUCCCACCAACUCCUUGGCCUCCUUUAUUGUUUGUCCUGUGGUUCGAGUGGGAACUGAUAAUCAAUGACAAUGCCUGUGUUUUAAUGAUGGAUCUCUGGGAAUUAGCUAGAGCCAAAAAUAUGAUGCAAUACAGGGAAUGAGUCAGCAUGGCUAAUAACAGAAGCAUUGUUACACAAUUAUUAUUAUUGCCAUUAUUAUUUACUGUUUAAUCAACAGGUAAAUACAGUAAAUUCAUUCAAUCUGAAAGCUCAUUUUUAUCUAUAGUCCCUGGAUGGAGGCCACUAGUAAUGCACAAGUAAAGUUAUGUCAAACGAUGCUGAUUAUUUCGCAGAACGAAGGAAGGAUAUUUUUGCCAGAUAUGUUUACAUUUUGAAGUUUAUAUAUUUAUCUGUAAUGUCAGUCUUCUUUCUGUUCAAUCAUCAGUCAUUCUGGACAUGCCAGCCAACUUUGAAUUUUGAUCUUUACUGAAAUGUCAACUUACUAUAGGCUCAGAAAGUGAUUAGAAAAGGACUUUAUAUGAAUAAACAUCACACUGCCGGAUCCUUAUAAUUAGUUGUAGAAAACUUUUGGCUGAUAAAUAAAACAACAUUUUAGUUUUGGCUGUGAAGUAGAGGCUGAUGAAAACAUCUGGAGGAGCAGCAGCCCGUCCUACCUCAUAACCUUUCAGGGAAGGUCCCACCAGGACAACCGGCCUCAUGGAGGGAACCACGUCGUAGGGAGGGAUGUGCUCUGCCUGGAGGAAACACACAGCUUCAGUCAAACUUUGAUAUCAUUACCACAAGUCUCCUUAAGUCUCCAACUCCCCCGAAGUCCCUCCAAAUAUAACUCAAGUGAUGCUUUAAAGUAAAUAAUGUCAAACAAAUCUGUUAGAUGCAGAUGAUCAAAUGUACAAAAACACAUGAUCUUUCCAGAGGUAAAGUUUUCUAUUUUUCAAUAGUUAUUUUAAUCAGUAACUUAAGCUAUUACUAUUACCUUACUUUUUUGUUUAUUACCAGAAUUUAUCGUAUUGCAUACAAAACAUGACAAAUAACGUAUUAAUUAAAUGGACUCACCACUUUCUGUUUCUGCUUUCCUGAAAAAGAAAGAAAAAAAAAUCGAGUGAGUGAGUGAAAACUAAAAUUAUAUCUGAAAAUAAAAAACAUCACAAUAUCACAGUGUGAAUAAAUGACAAAAACGGAGCAGCUUCCAAGUCAAACUAUUCCCUCUGUAAGCCUGACCCCAGUUUUUCCUCUCAGACGUGAGUAGACUCGUGUCUUUGGGACGAACCUGCAGAGUUGGGGUUCGGCUUGAAUGUUCCCGACACCAUUUCUCCGAGACUGGAGGAGGAAUUCCCGCUGGACUUACUGCUGCAUCCAGGACAGAAAACACAAAGAGAGAAGGGAUGAGGUAAAAUCCUGCAAGUCGUCAUCAGUCAAACAUCACAAACCCCUGGAGAACAGGUGACCACAGACUGUGUUCAAGGCUUCGUAUAAUAUUAUUGCAAGGCAGUGUUUUCCUCUUAUAGCCUUUAGGAUAACUUACUUGCUCUGUGGGUAAAACAAGAGCACAGGGAUAGUUUCUUCAACAUUGUAAGAUGUUCUUCGAGCACUGAUAUGUAUGAGCGUGUGUAAUUUGGUGCAGAUCCCAAUAAAAAUCAGGAUAUCGUGAAUUUGAAGGUAGUUUUAUAAGGAGACUGUUGGACUUUAAUGGAGGUGUGAGCUUUAGUGUUCGCCGUUCUAGUUCCAGAUCUACAUUAAGAAGCACAAUACAACACUGUAUACCAUACACAAAAUUACUAUUAAUUAAAUUGUGUCAAUUCUCAAACAUAAACCUAAGAAAAAUAAGGUUUUCUUCAAAUAAAUCUCCAUAAAGAUAAAUCUCAUCUUUCAAUAGGAAAGCAUUAGCUAAAGACAGAAAAUAAUCAGCAUUGUUUCUUAUUCCGUGGACAUUAAAAACCGGUUCCAAUGUGAUGUAAUUUAAAUUUACUUUAGCCUGAAUAAAUGGCGGUGGCUAACACACAUCCCCCCAUCUGAUGGAAAGUUGUGUGGUGGCCCCCCCCUCUGAGUGGUUGGACCACACAACACAACUUGGCCUCCAUCCACCUGAUUUCCUCCCAACUGCCCGGCUCUACUCUCUCCGGAAGUGGCUCUUCAACACAUCCACUAUCCCUCCAUCUGUCUUUUAUCCCCUUGAUCCAUGUGUCGUCUGAUUCCUCCGCCGCCUGCACUCUCACACCCCGUCCUCCUCCUCCUCCUCCAGCUCACCCAUGGAAGCGUCCUCUCUUCUGUUCCUGAUGGAGACGGAUGUUUUCCAGCUUCAGAGGGCUCGGGAUGAAGCCGAUAUCACAGCCCUCCUUCACCAGGCGGCCGAUCCACCAGUCGUUGUUGUACUUCUGUGAAAUGACGACAGAAAUCAUCAGCAUUUUAGAUUACUCCCCAUCUCUGAAUAAAAUACACAUGAUGCGGCAAUAGUAUCUAAAAUCAGUAUUCAAAAUAAAGUUGCCUUGUAAGUGUCCAUCACACAGAAUCAUAGAAAAUCAACAGAGAGAAAGGUUUGGCUAAAUCAUGACUAGUGUGUGCUUUUAAAAUCUCCUCUGCAGCAGCCACUGGUUUGGUUAGUUUAAUAUAAAAAAAGACGAUCUGUUCUUGCACAAAUGAAAUCCUCCGUACAGGUUUAACAUACAGGAUAGAGACUGAAUUGUACCUCUUUGAUGUGGAGGAAGUCCUUGGCAUCAAAAGACACAGCGGUGCCUGCCACGGGGACGUCCUCGUCCAACGCACCACAGUAACUGACAUUAGUCCUCACAGCAAACGCCACCGCUUUAGUCUGCGAGAGAGAAGAGUGGAAAAAGAAAUCAGAGAAGUGAGGCUGCAACACUGGAUUAGAAUUAAUCAGAUUCAUCUAUUUCUCAAAUUGUUGUUGUUUUUAUCAUUUUCACUGUGACAAAGUGAACUAAUUGAUUAAGUUGGUGAUUAUCACUGUCACUUUCCUUUAACUCGUUUAUUUUUAGAUUUCGAUGCGAUAUCUUUAUUCCUGCAAUGCCUUUGCAGCAAUGACAGUAUAGUACGACUCGUACUGCUAAUAUUUCAAUUUGAUCAAAAUAAAACCAUCACAUGGGAAUGUAAAGUUAUUAAAAUACCAAAAUAGAAAAUCAUGAUUCCAAAAUUCCAGUUUGGACUCUUUAGCGUUUCCUGUUUUAGUUUGUAAUUACUUUCUUUAUUUAUCUGGUUUUACUUCCUGUCUGUGCAGGGGGGUUUUCCUCACUGUUUUUCUGCAGCACCUUAGUUGCAGUAGUUCCAGUGUAUUUAUGGCCUCGUGCUUCACCUUUUGACAGAAUGUUAUGUGAGUUGAUUCUUCAGUCUUCCGUCCAGGUGUUCUGACUGGUUUAGGUAAUGUCUGGACUGGUGUAAUCGUAAUUCGAAUAUUCACCCAAAUCCUGUGUUUUGUCUCUGAGCUGAGAAUGUGUGUGUUCCAUGUGAUUUUCUGUGCAGUGACGCUGACCU